ACUCAGCCUGUGAAAAACGGACCCACAACCUCUACAAUCCUUAUGUAAGGUAAUCUUGGAGGGAUUCAUUCUCACCGAGACGGUCAUCUAUUAUCCGCACGAGCUCAGCCGUAGCAGUUUCAACCUGAUCAUCAUCAUCUUCCAUUAGUUCAGCAAUAAAUGGUACUGAUUGAGGCAAUGUAGAAAUCCAAUUCUCACCAAGGCGCCCGUAAAGCUGUGUCUGUAUUUGGAUAGCUAAUAAGCGAGCAUUGAUGUUGGAGGAUCGAAGAUAUUGCAACAACUGAGUAUUCAUUGAUCUAAAGUUGUCGCUUGAUGAGGCUACACUAGCCAGUUCGACAAUAGCUUUUACUAGGACCUUGUCAUCAAGCAAAGGAGCAUAUUGUAUUUGUUCAAUUAGAACGGGGCUUAUUUUACCAAAACGUGCGGGCACCAUCCAAAACUCCUC